rnacentral:rRNA from 1 species
ACGAACGCUGGCGGCAGGCCUAACACAUGCAAGUCGAGCGCCGUAGCAAUACGGAGCGGCAGACUGGUGAGUAACGCGUGGGAACCUUCCCAGUGGUACGGAAUAGCUCAGGGAAACUUGAGGUAAUACCGCAUACGCCCUUCGGGGUAAAGAUUUAUCGCCAAAAGAGUAGCCCGCGCUGGAUUAGCUAGUUGGUGAGGUAAUGGCUCACCAAGGCGACGAUCCAUAGCUGGUCUGAGAGGACGAUCAGCCACACUGGGACUGAGACACGGCCCAGACUCCUACGGGAGGCAGCAGUUAGGAAUAUUGGACAAUGGGGGCAACCCUGAUCCAGCCAUGCCGCGUGAGUGAUGAAGGCCUUCGGGUUGUAAAGCUCUUUAGCCGAUGAUUAUAAUGACUGUAGUCGGAAAAUAAGCCCCGGCUAACUUCGU